UNUGACUUGAGUGCAGAAGGGGAGAGUGGAAUUCCAUGUGUAGCGGUGAAAUGCGUAGAUAUAUGGAGGANCACCAGUGGCGAAAGCGGCUCUCUGGUCUGUCACUGACGCUGAGGCUCGAAAGCGUGGGUAGCGAACAGGAUUAGAUACCCUGGUAGUNCACGCCGUAAACGAUGAGUGCUAGGUGUUAGGCCCUUUCCGGGGCUUAGUGCCGGAGCUAACGCAAUAAGCACUCCGCCUGGGGAGUACGACCGCAAGGUUGAAACUCAAAGGAAUUGACGGGGGGCCGCACAAGCGGUGGAGCAUGUGGUUUAAUUCGAAGCAACGCGAAGAACCUUACCAGGUCUUGACAUCCCGAUGCUAUUCUUAGAGAUAGGAAGUUACUUCGGUACAUCGGAGACAGGUGGUGCAUGGUUGUCGUCAGCUCGUGUCGUGAGAUGUUGGGUUAAGUCCCGCAACGAGCGCAACCCUUAUUGUUAGUUGCCAUCAUUAAGUUGGGCACUCUAGCGAGACUGCCGGUAAUAAACCGGAGGAAGGUGGGGAUGACGUCAAAUCAUCAUGCCCCUUAUGACCUGGGCUACACACGUGCUACAAUGGUCGGUACAACGAGUUGCGAGCCGGUGACGGCAAGCUAAUCUCUGAAAGCCGAUCUCAGUUCGGAUUGGAGGCUGCAACUCGCCUCCAUGAAGUCGGAAUCGCUAGUAAUCGCGGAUCAGCACGCCGCGGUGAAUACGUUCCCGGGCCUUGUACACACCGCCCGUCACACCACGUGAGUUUGUAACACCCGAAGUCGGUGAGGUAACC
rnacentral:rRNA from 1 species